rnacentral:lncRNA from 1 species
UUAUUUUCCACAAUGAAUGUGGGCUGGCUCUGUAACCAAAGAAUAAAGAGGUGAUGAUGUGUCAUUUCUGGGCCUCAGCUUUAAGAAAGCCUGACAGCUUCCCCUUUUACACUAUUGGGAGCCGUGAGAUGCCCUGUAAGAGGAUCAGCUACCCUACUGUAAGAACAACUGGAGAGCCAGCAUGGUGAGGGAGAGGCUCUGAGACUACAUGAAGAGAGGGAGGCCCAGCAGUCCCAAAUGAGUCUGGCUUUCCAGCUAUCCCCUUCCAAGGACCCAGGUAGCCCCUUAUGAGGGUGCUCUCUGCUCACCUCUGGUGCUUAUGCUGUGAUUGCUGAUGUUGCUUGGAAUCUGCCUCCAGGAACUCCUUUGCCUUCCUGUUCUCCUCCUCAAACAGCUGCCUGGAGGGCUGGCCACAAGGGUUGAAGGGUCAUCAGUCCAUCCCCCAACUCCUCUCUUCAGCUUCCCUCCGUUCUGCUGUGAAAAAAGAGCCUUACACUGAGGGCAGGGUGACCUUUUCCAUAGAACAGCUGGUUCAGCUGAUGCUGCAAGUACUCCUUCUUUAUGUCUUCAAGCCGUAGAUCCAGGCUUCCUGCUGCAGACGGAGAGAGAUGGAACUGGAGAUAGCCGGCAAUCCGAAGCAGGGUCCAGAGAUAAAGGGUCAAAGCUGGACGUCAGCAUCAUGGUGGAGUGAGUUUUCCCAGUAAUCUUUCCCCUCCAAUAUACAAUGAAAAGGACAUUCAUACUCCAACAGAGGACAGCCAAACACAAC